rnacentral:rRNA from 1 species
UACGUAGGUGACAAGCGUUGUCCGGAUUUACUGGGCGUAAAGAGCGCGCAGGCGGUCGUUCAAGUCGAGUGUGAAAGCCCCCGGCUCAACUGGGGAGGGUCAUUCGAUACUGAUCGACUCGAAGGCAGGAGAGGGAAGUGGAAUUCCCGGUGUAGUGGUGAAAUGCGUAGAUAUCCGGAGGAACACCGGUGGCGAAGGCGGCUUCCUGGACCGACACUGACGCUGAGGCGCGAAAGCUAGGGGAGCAAACGGG